CUUAGUGGCGAACGGGUGAGUAACGCGUGGGAAUCUACCUAGAAGUGGGGAAUAACUGUUGGAAACGACAGCUAAUACCGCAUAAUCCCUUUGGGGCAAAGGCUUCGGCCGCUUUUAGAUGAGCCCGCGUUAGAUUAGGUUGUUGGUGAGGUAACGGCUCACCAAACCUACAAUCUAUAUCUGGUCUGAGAGGAUGAUCAGCCACACUGGAAUUGAGAUACGGUCCAGACUCCUACGGGAGGCAGCAGUAAGGAAUAUUGGACAAUGGGCGCAAGCCUGACCCAGCCAUGCCGCGUGCAGGAUGACGACCCUAUGGGUUGUAAACUGCUUUUAUAUAGGAAGAAAAUACUCUUGCGAGAGGAUCUGACGGUACUAUAUGAAUAAGGACCGGCUAACUCCGUGCCAGCAGCCGCGGUAAUACGGAGGGUUCAAGCGUUUUCCGGAUUUAUUGGGUUUAAAGAGUGCGUACGUGGCUUAUUAAGUCAGUGGUGAAAUCCUGCAGCUCAACUGUAGAACUGCCUUUGAUACUGGAAAACUGAGUAAUUGUGAAGUGGUCAGAAUGUGUGGUGUCGCGGUGAACUGCAUAGAUCUCACACAGAAUACCGAUAGGGAACGAGAACCAUCACAAUAUACUAGACACUCAUGACGAAAACGUGAGUGAGAACAGGAUAGAUACCUGAUAGCCCACCCGAAACGAUG
rnacentral:rRNA from 1 species